rnacentral:lncRNA from 1 species
GCCACGGAAACUCAGAUGUGUGUUUCUACCUCAAACGGAAACAAUAUGGAAGCGAGUCGUGAUCUCCGAAUUCCUUGACUUGAAACCAGUGAACAACAACACCGAUACUGGUGCGGAAAGACCCUCCAGCUCCAGCCACGUGACAAGGCGGGGCCGCCCGCAGCGGUCCAAUCACACCUGCGGACAGGUGAGGCUAUGCGGAAGGGCGUGAGCGUAGGUUCAGAGCAGGGCAGCCUUUUAGAGUCCCGGUUAGAGUCCUCUCUUGUUUCCGAUUUCUGGAUUUGCUCCGGUUUCGAGUUGGAUUUAACCCGUCGGAGGAAUACGACCCCCUUCCCUUCCCCCGAAUACCCACAGCUAAGCAUACUCGAGGAUUUCUUCAACAAGCGAAAUUUGUCAGCGAUGGCGACGUUACUGGAUGGUAAACCAAGAAAGCGAGUGAUUAGUUUCGACAUGGUCACCCUCGCCAUUGUCUUCGUGUUUACAGCAGGAACAGCAUCCGGCUUAUCCGUCACCACCAACACACCUGUAGUCCAAGUGCCAGAGAACUCAGGGGCAGAUCUAAACUGCCAGUAUUCUGCUGACUUUGUGAACCCAAGAGUUGAAUGGAAAUACAAGGAUAAAUCAGGAUCUCAAGUUUUCCUGUUUUAUGAUAGCAAACCAAC